CGCCGCAUUAAGGCGUUUCCGUGUGAAUGUCGUCGCGAUGUAGGUGUUUUCCAGAGCGAUCAUUAACGCAGAACACACACCUUUGGGCUCUUGAAGGGACAUAUUCAUUAUCUCAGACAAGAUGGCUUUGCUUAUUCAGGGAUUGGCUAUCUGGGGCUUUAAAAUCGGUCUGCUGGCAGUAUCAACUAAAACUCUCAUCGUUAUUGGAAUUAUCGUUGUUGUAGUAAUUGCAACAUACUACCUUGCCAAAUCGCUUUAUGGGAAACAGAAGGCGGCUUAAACCUCAGCAACAUGACUAACGACUGGAGAGCAGCCAGAGGUUGAUUAACUCGACGACGUACUGUCUCUCUUUACUGCUUUACUGCUCAUUACAUGGGUUUUUACAAUGAGUUGUAAAGGGAAAUUGUCUAUAUGCUCUUGAGCAAGGCACUAAUCCAGAGUGACUUACAAUUAUAAUUGUAAUGUGUGGCAAUUAAAUGUAUUCAUCCCUCA